rnacentral:rRNA from 1 species
AUUGACCGCUGGCGGCAUGCCUUACACAUGCAAGUCGAACGGCAGCACGGGAGCAAUCCUGGUGGCGAGUGGCGAACGGGUGAGUAAUGUAUCGGAACGUACGCAGUCUUGGGGGAUAACGCAGCGAAAGCUGUGCUAAUACCGCAUACGAUCUAUGGAUGAAAGCGGGCGCUCGCAAGACCCACCGUGAUUGGCACGGCCGAUAUCAGAUGAGGUAGUUGGUGGGGUAAAGGCCCACCAAGCCGACGAUCGGUAGCUGGUAUGACAGGCCGACCAGCCACAAUGGGACUGAGACACGGCCCAGACUUCUACGGGAGUCAGCAGUUGGGAAUUUUGGACAAUGGGCGCAAGCCUGAUCCAGCAAUGCCGCGUGCAGGAUGAAGGCCUUCGGGUUGUAAACUGCUUUUGUACGGAGCGAAACGGCUUCCACUAAUACUGGGGGCUAAUGACGGUACCGUAAGAAUAAGCACCGGCUAACUACGUUCCAGCCGCCGCGGUAA